GUGCAGCAGGCGCGAAACCUCCGCAAUGCUCGAAAGAGCGACGGGGGGACUCCAAGUGCCUACGCUCAGCGUAGGCUGUUCCCGAGCCUAAAAAGCUCGGGGAGUAAGGGCUGGGUAAGACGGGUGCCAGCCGCCGCGGUAAUACCCGCAGCCCGAGUGGUGGCCGCUAUUAUUGGGCCUAAAGCGUCCGUAGCCGGCUCGGUAAAUGCCUGGGUAAAUCGUCUGGCCCAACCAGACGAAUUCCGGGUAGACUGCCGGGCUAGGGACCGGAGGAGGGAGAGGGGUACUUCAGGGGUAGGGGUGAAAAUUUCCUUUCCAUUAACGCUUUGCGCGAAGCGGAAAGGGUUAUCACAAUCCUGUAAUCCCUGGAGGACCACCCGUGGCGAAGGCGCUCUCCUAAGACGGGUCCGACGGUGAGGACGAAAGCCAGGGGA
rnacentral:rRNA from 1 species